rnacentral:rRNA from 1 species
UACGAAGGGGGCUAGCGUUGCUCGGAAUCACUGGGCGUAAAUCGCACGUAGGCGGAUCUUUAAGUCAGGGGUGAAAUCCCAAGGCUCAACCUUGGAACUGCCUUUGAUACUGGGGAUCUCGAGUCCGGAAGAGGUGAGUGGAACUGCGAGUGUAGAGGUGAAAUUCGUAGAUAUUCGCAAGAACACCAGUGGCGAAGGCGGCUCACUGGCCCGAUACUGACGCUGAGGCACGAAAGCGUGGGGAGCAAACAGG